rnacentral:tRNA from 1 species
GGAGUUGUAGCUCAGUGGUAGAGCACUUGCCUAGCAUGUGUGAGGCCCUGGGUUCAAUCCUCAGCACCA